rnacentral:rRNA from 1 species
ACGUAGGGUGCAAGCGUUAAUCGGAAUUACUGGGCGUAAAGCGUGCGCAGGCGGUUGUGCAAGACAGGUGUGAAAUCCCCGGGCUUAACCUGGGAACUGCACUUGUGACUGCACGGCUGGAGUACGGCAGAGGGGGAUGGAAUUCCGCGUGUAGCAGUGAAAUGCGUAGAUAUGCGGAGGAACACCGAUGGCGAAGGCAGUCCCCUGGGCCUGUACUGACGCUCAUGCACGAAAGCGUGGGGAGCAAACAGGA